ensembl:lncRNA
UUCCCGGUGUUGCAAACAGGAACAGGAUCAGGCGCCAGGUGGGAACUUGAUUGGAGCUGCAGGGCCAGAUCCCACUGCUGAUGGUUCUCAUGGUUUCGAUGCAUGCCGUGCUUUGCAGAGCUCACGUGGCUGCCUUUGCAAAGCGGGGUCGUGUCAGAACAUCCCCUUUCUGACCCAAAAGGCUCUGUUGUGGUCUGAGCAGGGAGGAAACAGGGCAGAGCAUGAACUUUCCCAUCAAAACGCCUCCUCUCAGCCUUGCAGCAGAGAAAGGGAACAGCAGGGCUCUGCACCAGGUCCGGUGGGUGCAGGUGGUGCUGCUUUGCACAUGAGCCGCUAAGCUGGGAGUCUGCGUUUGUGCACACCGCUGUUGUCGAGCAGACCUUUGUGUUUUGCAGCAUUUGCUAAUAUUGCUCUAUUCAGGCUGGAUUUUUCCUUCAAUUUCCGGAGCUCUCUGGCAGGAGGAGGCUGCAUUCAAACGCCUUUUAUCCUGGUAGUAAAAAUCAGAAGCAUGGAGAGAAAUCUAACAGAGGAUGGGGAGAGAUGGGGCUGAGUCCUGGGGGAGAGCUGGAUCAGCCCUGGCACCCAGGCACCAACGCAUCGAGGCAGCUCAUCGUCAUCCCCUGUGCUCACAGCCCUUGGGUGACAGCCCACUUCAUGCCCACUAGAAUGGAUCCCAACCUCACCAAAGGGCAGCAAAGCUCGAGGAAAUUUCUUAAGCUGAAUGCUCGGGAAAGGCAAACAUUUUCCAGUUUUCUGUUCGGGGGAUAAACAGGAGUAAAUGGCGCAUCUGUAAUCCCGGAUUCUGCUUUACAAAUGCCUUUUGGUGGUACUGUGUGUCAUUCAUGUAGGUGACUUUUACAAUGAAAAAUCCCAUUUAAGCCUGACCUUUCACGUUCUGGAACAUAAUAGACUGUGCAGCCAAAUUGCAUCCUCCUAGCAGGGACACCAGUGAACUGGAAUAUUAGUUUUGUAAGGGGACAUUUGAAUUCUACAAAUUCAUUUGUCAGAAGUUGUGUUUGUAACCAUCAGUCCAUUAAGGGCAGCGGGCAGGUGCAGCUCUGUAGUGGCAUGGGCUAGGAGGGCAAAGGAGGAGGCAGCUCUCUGGGGGAAUUUGGGAACACAUCUCCUGAGAGCCUGUUCUGCAGGGAUGUCUGCUUCUCUCCCUGGGAGAAGUAAGGAAGAAAGUGCAAAGAUGGCAAAUGAGGUUGAAACAAAAUCCUCGCUUCUGCAUGGCAAGCACUGGGCAGUGAUGGAGUGUUGUGUCUUGAACAAGUGGGGUGGGGUGUCAUGGGAUGAAGUGUUGUAGAAUGAGGAAUCAUGGGGUGCCAUGGAAUGGAGCGUCAUGGAAUGGGGUGCUAUGGUGUGUCAUGGGAUGGGGUGUCAUGGGAUGUCAUGGGAUGGAGUGGUGUGGGGUGGGGUGGCAUGGGCUGGCAUGGCUGCGAUGAGCUGGGCUGGGCCAUGAAGACGUUUUGCUUCCCAGCACCCUCUUGCCGCUCUGCCCCUGUAGGCGGGCCAGAUCCCAGCUCAGCAAUCAAUUACCACUGCCCUCAUGCAACGGGCUCUCUGUGCAGCUCAGCACAGCCUGCUGGGGCUGCUGCUCCCCAUUCCCACUGCUGGCAAGGCCGCUGCGGCUGCCUCUUGAAGCAUUUAUGUUAAUACACUAUCAGGCAGCCACAUCCCAUGGCUUAUCAUUUUCAUCAAGUCUUGGUUUUAUGGUUGAAAGGAAUUACUUUCAAAAGACCAUUACCACCUCCCUGUUUCUCAUGGCCUUAUGCCUACCUGCUGUUAAGCUUUUAUAAAGGCAUAAUUUUUUUUGUGUAAAGCUCAUAAAAGCUGCUACUCAAGUCCCAUGCUCAAGUCCACUUCCCUCACUCGCUGCCUCGGACUCGAGCGAUCCCAGCUGGGGCUAUGGGGAAGGCAGGCAGUACAGGGCAGGAGAGCGGCCAUCUCCUGCUGAUCCCACAGCUCUGAGCUAAGUGUGCCAUGGGCACGGGACUGGUGCUGUCCUCCCAGUGCUGCCAUGCUGGGAUGGAUGCGGUGUGGGCGCUGCAGGAAUCUCCAGGCUGUGCAUCUCUUUGUAUCACGUAUGCGAGUGGCCUCUAUAUUUCCUGAUUAUUUAAUUUGACUUAGAAUAAGAGGUAUUUGUACUCAUUUCCAGAGAUGAUGUACAGGCCUGAUCUUAAACUGAUUUAGACAGCAUUGCACAUCAAGAAAAAUGAGAACGGGGGAAUCUAAUGGAUGACAUUUUUUUUUUAAAUGGGCUCUUCACCAACCUGCGUGGAAUUACAAGCAAUAGGCAAAUUCUGACACAAGAGUCUCUCCCAGACGACAAAGGGACAUGAAGAAUAGCGCUGCUCAGCAGCACAAUACAAGCUCCAAUAAUACCAUCACAGGCUUCCUCUCCAGUAGUUCGUAGUAUGAGGGUUUGACAGAUGUCCCCAUCAGACCUUCCUGUGGCAGCUGUGGUACCCACAUCCCAUGCCCUCUGCGGGCUCCUGGCUCCCUGGUGCCCCACGUCUGGGUGCUUCAUGGCUUCAUGUCUGCAAACAUAUUGCGUUUAGGCUGGGACAGGAAAAACCCCACUCACUGUGGGAUUGUGCAGCCUGAGCCUCGCUGAGAUAGAAACAGCCCUGGCUGAGGCAGGUGGGUGGGAGCAGCAAGGAGCUGGGUGAGAAGUGCUGCUUUGCACAUGGGCAGGCAGCACCCUCUCUUUGAAUGCGAAGACGGAUGGAGAUAGAGGUGCGGCUCCGUUGCACCCAGCUGUCAGAGCAGCACCUGCCUCAGGUGCUUGGGUGGGCUGCAAAGCUCCUCUGAGCAGAGGCUUCAUGACAGCGUCCUGAAACCAAAUUAAGGGACUGGCUGUGGCUCUGCAAGGAUCAGCUUUGAACGCUGACAAAGCAGGAGAGGAUUCAGCAGUGCCAUGGCUGGAACAGCUGCAUGGGCAGAGGUGGCCGCGUGCCUGCUGGAGGGAGCAUGAAGAGAUCUUAUGUGGGGAAAUCGCAGGAUCAGUGCAAACCCUUCCAUGGAAGUAAAUACCCGUUGGAAGGGGGCCAUUUUUCGACCUUGGCUGGGUGUAGUUUUAAUUAUCAGAGCUGGCUGAAUAACAAAAAACAUUUUGCCACGAGCACCGCAUUUUUCUAGGAAUUCAUUUCAGCAGCGCUUACUCCUUUUGGGCUUCAUGUUUAUGAAUGUACAUAUAAACCCACUCCAAAGCAGGUCUUUUCACCUAAGCAGCGUGCUGAAGGUGCUGCGAUUUUAUUUACACGCUCUUCAUGCUGCCUUUUUACUGUGGGUAUAAAUAUAACUUAGGCAUUACAGAAUCCUUUUCCUCCGAAAUAAACAACUGUGAGAUCCCAGCGCCAGGGCGAUGCGAGCCCUCGGUGAGUACCGCAGGGUGCUAUGGGGUCACCAGGCCACCCCGAGGUGCUGCUCACACCAUGGGCUGGGUGUUCGCCCUCCAAAAAACCAAGGGAGCAAUGGCAGACCUGGAGCUUUGAGCCCUGAGAGGCGCUUGUUGCUAUUUAAAUAUGUAAUAAUGAAAUGGAAGCGGCCCUUCGCCUACUCAUGGGAGUGUUCGAUCUUCGGAGUGGCAUGAAGUGAUUUAGCCAUUAAGGUUAAUGCUCGUCUUCCUGCUGUCUGUUGAAACUCCGGGCUAGGCAAUGCAAAUAGCUUAGCCAGUACUUCUAAAGGUCAUUGUGCAUGAAAAAAAAUAAAGAUCAUACACCGCUCAUGGAAAUGUCCUUAGUAAUCACCGCCUGCUCGGGGGAGGAGGGGAAGAAGAACUCCUGGAACAUUUAUCUCAUCCCGCUGAUAGUUUGGUG